GUUGGGCUGUGACAGUCAGAAGGCUCAGGAUAAACUUCAGGAUAGAGAAAACCAGCGCUGACAUACAAUGUGUCAGUGUUUGGAGAAGCCAGUCACAAGAUCAGAGGUUCUCACAAGCCCCGGCAUCCUUGCCUUACCCAGGAAGUGGAGCCCAGAGAAGAGAACCCCUUUUCUUUUGCAAACACUGCCCCCCGGAGCAAAAGCCACUGAGUAUAAUUUUCCAUCACAUGCUCCAGACGCUGAAGUUUCUGGGAAGAGAAAUCAGGCUCCACGUGUGGCGCGUCCCUCUGCAGAGCGUUCGUGUUGUACUGCUCCGUCGCGCUCUCCCGGCAGUUCCCGUCGUGUUCUGGAAGAAUGAAAGUGUAGGCACAUUGCCCAUGUUGAAUCCGGUUAUAUCUUCUGCCUCCGUUUUCUGGACUCCGGCGCUGGUUGCUGCACCCGAUGUGAGUCACGAUGGCAGCGAAGAAUGCAAAGGAAAGGAAAACUGUCAUUGUACUGCCAGCGCUCGCCUUCCGUGCCUCCUGCAAAGCUCGCUCUUCUCUUCUGACCUUUAAACUAGUUCUGUAUUUCAGGUAAAACUGCUGCUUGUUUGACUCUUCACCCUUUAAAGAAAGCGUCGGAAGAAGGUCCACAGAAAACGAGCCAUUUGUUAGCUUUGUUCUAAAAACGUUACUUUUUUUAAAAAAAGAAUUUACUGUAAUGAUAGUUCCCUACGUUAAAAGUUGAGAUAUUUAUUGCAUAGUAGCUGAGAUUUAUUGUUUCCUCUCUGUGUAACCGUUCGGCGUGCAGGCUGCCUGAGUCAGCUGCGAGUACACAUUCUAGCCCCGUUCCCCUACCCUAUCUGCGGCAGAUCUGCUAUUUUCUCCCUGUCCUCAGUGAGUUUUUAUUAAGGUUGCACAUCCAAGCCAAGCUGGAAGCAGGCAGCCUUUCACAAGAUGACUUGACAGGAAUGCAUGAGUGUGCCCCUAUGCUAAGGAUCGCUGAUGGCUUUGGGCGGGGGAUCAGCUUACAAAUUGGCUGGAUGCGCAUGACCUCGAUCAUGUAUGGGCCUCCCGCCCCUUCCGCAGACAAUUGCCUUGAGCCCUCGGCAGAUGCACGGAAAAUCAAUAAACACAGUAGUCCACCUUAAUACAUUCGGGUAUGCAUGCUGACCUACUAAAAUCUAUCACGCUAGAAAUAUGUUUCCAAAGUUACUGCUUAAUUGAGAAACCCUAAACUGGCACGAGCUCCAAUGGAUUAUUUUUUUUUUAUAAUUCUGGAAAAUUAUUAAAUUAAAAUUUUUUGUUUUUUUUUUUACUCUAGGAAUAAAAACAUUAAAAAACUA